CAGGCCUGACACAUGCAAGUCGAACGGGACCAGCAAUGGUCCAGUGCGAACGGGUGCGUCACACGUGAGGAACCUGUCCAUCGGCGGGGGAUAGCGGCCCAACGGCCGGGUAAUACCGCGUACGGCGGUUGCGACGCAUGUCGGACCGGGAAAGCAGCAAUGCACCGAUGGAGGGUCUCGCGGCCUAUCAGCUGUUGGCGGGGUAAUGGCCCACCAAGGCGACGACGGGUAGCUGGUCUGAAGAACGAUCAGCCACAUUGGGACUGAGACACGGCCCAGACUCCUACGGGGACAGCAGUGGGGAAUAUUGCGCAAUGGGCGAAAGCCUGACGCAGCGACCCGCGUGCGGGAUGACGGCCUUCGGGUUGUAAACCGCUGUCGGGGGGGAGAAGAUCUGACG
rnacentral:rRNA from 1 species